GCAGGAGAGAGGCCCCAGACUGGAAGGUGAAUGCUAGAUGGCCAGCGUGAUAUGGCGACCCAGUCCUGACCUCAUGGAACGGCAACAGUAGGAGACAAUGCGUGUGAUUGGCAGCAGGGCAGAGGUUUACCUCUGCCUGCAUUUGUGAGUAGGGUCUCUACUGUUGUUUACUGGGUGCAGCUGGGUUGGGAGAGGGUCGCCAUGGCCAUGAUCCAGGGCCGCUUCUGGGACCAUUGUUCUGGCCCCUAUUUGUUUUUUUACAGGACACCGACGCAAGGGGAGCUGUGGCAGUGGUCGCAUGAUGGAUUCGGGUGCUGAACGCAAGCUGGGCUGGGAUCUGAUGGGCCAGUGGAAGGACAAGAAGAUGGAGGCUCUUCCUUGUCUGCCGAAGACGAGGCUGGCAUGGACUCUGCUUUAAAAGGAAUUGUGUUGCCAAUGGCAUUAACCGCAUAUACAAAGGCGACCAGUGAACCUCUCUCUGCUGAUGUCGUUGCCCCAACUUGUUUAAUAUAAGUUAAAGUAAUAGUGUGAGAAAGCAGAUGGAUUAUACCAACCUCACACUUUUUAUCUUUAUAUGGAUUUUUGUUCCAUCCUGAUGAUCAGAAGAGUGUUUGAGGAUUUAACAGAUUUCUUGAGAACAACAUGGACGUUAACCCUGUAAAUCCUGAACCAUGAAAUCAUUGCUCGAUAAUUCAAACUUUAUUGGUCCAACGCAUCAAACGUCACUCCAACGUCACGUCCGUACGAGACGUUGCAUCCUGUAAGUGUGGAGUUUGACCGAGCGGCUGAACGACAGAUCGGUUCUAACAGUCAGUGACUUUCAGCUUUAUUUAAACCUUAAAUUUAAUCUUGUGUCGUCAGAUUUAAACUCAGGUUCAGUUACUGAGUGAAAAUACCAACAGACUCAGAGAUUUAGGACAAACUAAGAGUCAGAUCAGCAGAAACAGAGAACACGGACAUGUCUGCUGUAACUGCGUCACUCUGCUCCACUUUGCUGAUGUUUGAUGGAGUCUUCAUGUUUGUCUCUGCAGAUUUUCCACCCUGAUGACCACAGAGGCCUUUGAGGGUCCCAGAUGUCCUUCAGAACAACAACCAGGAAAUCAUCACAGCUGAGUCUGGACAGAACGUCACUCUGACAUGUCGAGCUUCAAACAACAUUAUAGCAGUAAACUGGAGCCGAGCUGACCUGGGAACAAAAUAUGUCCUUUUUUACCGGGAUGAGCGUUUUUUUCCAGACGACCAGCAUCCAUCUUUUAAGAACCGGGUGGAUCUGCAGGACAGACAGAUGAAGGAUGGAGACGUGUCUUUGAUUCUGAAGGAUGUGACGAUUAAUGACACUGGAACAUACGAGUGUCGUGUUGCCCAAAAAGAACCAAACCAAGAGAGACCCAGUUUGAAGCUCAUCAGCAGCAUCCACCUUCAUGUUGAUCCUCCAGGUCAGACAGGAGGAGCUGUUGGACUGAUUGUUGGUCUGUCAGUUUCUGCUGUGCUUCUUGUUGCUGCUGUUGCUGGAUUUUUGAUCUACAGAAAACAUAAACAACCGUAGAGUCAGGAUUCAUACCAGCCUCCUGUUGAACUGCAGCCUGUUUGAAAUGUGAGUUCUUUACAGCUGAACUCCUGGAGUCUGAGUCUCCUGAUGAGCCAGACUUCAUUUAGUGUUAUUAAACAUUCAGAAGAUGAUCUGAGGACAGACAUCAGUCAGCUGUCGGUAAUUUGAAUUUACUGUUUUUGUUUGUUUGUGUGCAUCAGUAUUAGUUAUUAGUUUGUUUUAGUUUCCAGGUUAGUCGCUCAUCUCAGUGGGAGAGUUUAUGUUCUUAAACAGUGUUAUUUACACUUUUGCCUUAUUUCUAUGUGGAACAUUCAGGACUUCAUCAUUCAAACAAACAAAAGUUGCAAAUCUAAGAAUAACAUCAGUGAUAUUCAACAAAAAAAAACCCCAUUUAGUUUCAUUUUACAAACAUCUUCUCUGUCAGUCUCAGUUUGUUCACAGUGAUGAGUUCAGCGUUGUCUCUGUCACAAUAUCAGAAUCAGUGAGUUUGUUCCAUCUUCAGGUUCAGCUGUUUGUAAGGUCAGACUCACAGACUGAUCCUCAUGUUUAGAUGUUACACAAUAAUUACAGACACUGACUGACAACACAAACACAACACAGAGAGCUCAGGGUCCAUUUAUCAGCUAGAACUGAGUGACUGAAUAAUCUGAUAUUAUUAUGAAACCAAAGAGAAAUGUGUUACAUGGAGCUGCAGAGUCACAUGUUUCCUCCUCUGAUCUAUGAAGCCUUAACUUGUUCCUCCAUGAAGGAGACUCUUCAGUUUAAACACGUCACGAUUAUUUAUUAUUUAAUUUUUAUAUCAAUUUGUUUAUCGAUAAAGUUUAAACGUGUUACUCUUGAAUGUUUUUGUUUUCUUCCUGUAGCUGUAAACAUUUCCUGACCUCCUGUUUAAAUGUGUGCAGAUUUGAUCUUGAAUGUAACAGUGUGAACAUUUAUAUACUUAACUUGACAUUAUUACAACCUGUGAUCUGUGGAAGCUCAGUAUCACCUCCUCUCAGAGGUAGGAGAUAAAUGAUGUUUGUGUAUGAGGUGUGUUACAGAGCACAACACUGUACACAGUUUUUCUGUGUUAACAUCUUUGUGCCUAAUUUAUGGAACAAGCAUGUUAAAUGUUAAUGAGAAGAGCUACAAGUUGAUUUGUACUUUGAAAUGAUCAAACAUUCAUAUUUCAGCUUCUGUGCUACUAAAACCUGCUGUUAUUUUGCUGUUAAUGUAUCCUGUUCAUAUGCACAUAAUAAACAUAAUCUCUGAAUGAUAAA